CAUGUAGAUCAUGCCCAGUCACGUUUUUAUACCGCUGACAAUGAGAGUUCACUAAAACCAGUCACGCAAUAACAACCGGGAUACCAGCAGGUGAAGCAGCAAUUAAAGAGCAUUCAAAACCUUAUCAUGGCCAACAACGAGACAGAUGAAUCCCAUCACGCAUUCCCUAUGACUCAGAUGCAUUCUGAUGGGGAGAGACAUGAAGCUGUACAUCAAAGACAGUCAUGGAGUAGACAUCUAGAUUACAUGCUGACUAUGGUGGGCUACUGUGUUGGAUUAGGUAACCUGUUGAGGUUCCCAUACAUCUGCAGCAGGAACGGUGGAGGAGCGUUCUUGUUACCUUUCAUCCUUUGUCUUCUGAUCACCGGGUUUCCAAUGUUCUUCCUGGAGUCAUCAAUUUCUCAGUUCUCGGGAAAGGCCUCGCAGCAAGUCUGGAGCUUUUGCCCUCUGUUUAAAG